rnacentral:rRNA from 1 species
UAGGGAAUAUUGCACAAUGGGCGAAAGCCUGAUGCAGCAACGCCGCGUGCGCGAUGAAGGCCUUCGGGUCGUAAAGCGCUUUUCGGGGAGAUGAGGAAGGACAGUAUCCCCGGAAUAAGUCUCGGCUAACUACGUGCCAGCAGCCGCGGUAACACGCAGGAGGCAAGCGUUAUCCGAAUUUACUGGGCGUAAAGCGCGUGCAGGCGGUUCGGUAAGUUGGAUGUGAAAUCUCCCGGCUCAACUGGGAGAGGUCGUUAUAUACUGUCGGACUAGAGGAUGGUAGAGGGAGGUGGAAUUCUCGGUGUAGUGGUGAAAUACGUAGAUAUCGGGAGGAACACCAGUG